rnacentral:rRNA from 1 species
UGGGGAAUCUUGGACAAUGGGGGCAACCCUGAUCCAGCGACGCCGCGUGUGUGAAGAAGGCCUGCGGGUUGUACAGCACUUUUAGUGGGGAUGAAAAGCACAUUGCUAAUACCAGUGUGUCUUGACCUAACCCAAAGAAAAAGCACCGGCUAACUCUGUGCGAGCAGCCGCGGUAAUACGGAGGGUGCGAGCGUUAAUCGGAAUUACUGGGCGUAAAGCGUGCGUAGACGGUUAUUUAAGUCGGGUGUGAAAGCCCCGGGCUCAACCUGGGAAUUGCAUUCGAGACUGAAUAGCUAGGGUACGGUAGAGGGAAGUGGAAUUUCCGGUGUAGCGGUGAAAUGCGUAGAUAUCUGGAGGAACACCGGUGGCGAAGGCGGCAUCCUGGACCGAGAUUGACGCUGAUGCGCGAAAGCCAGGGGAGCAAA